rnacentral:rRNA from 1 species
GAUGAAUGCUGGCGGCGUGCCUAACACAUGCAAGUCGAGCGGCAGCGAGUUUUACACUGAAUUCUGGAAGCUUCUGGGUAAUAUAGAAGAUUUAUUCAAGAAUUUUGUGUAAAAUGUCGGCGAGCGGCGGACGGCUGAGUAACGCGUAGGAAUUUGCCCCAAAGUGAGGAAUAACUGCCCGAAAGGGUAGCUAAUGCCGCAUAUGGUCUUCGGAUUAAAGUCCUCGGGCGCUUUGGGAGAAGCCUGCGUUGGAUUAGGUAGUUGGUAGGGUAAUGGCCUACCAAGCCGACGAUCCAUAGCUGGUCUGAGAGGAUGAUCAGCCAGGCUGGAACUGAGACACGGUCCAGACUCCUACGGGAGGCAGCAGUGAGGAAUCUUCCACAAUGGGCGAAAGCCUGAUGGAGCAACGCCGCGUGAAGGAUGAAGGCCUUCGGGUUGUAAACUUCUUUUAUGAGUGAAGAAUAUGACGGUAACUCAUGAAUAAGCACCGGCUAACUACGUGCCAGCAGCCGCGGUCAUACGUAGGGUGCAAGCAUUAUCCGGAGUGACUGGGCGUAAAGAGUUGCGUAGGCGGUUUAAUAAGUGAAUAGUGAAACCUGGUGGCUCAACCAUACAGACUAUUAUUCAAACUGUUAAACUCGAGAAUGGUAGAGGUAACUGGAAUUUCUAGUGUAGGAGUGAAAUCCGUAGAUAUUAGAAGGAACACCGAUGGCGUAGGCAGGUUACUGGGCCAUUUCUGACGCUAAGGCACGAAAGCGUGGGGAGCGAACCGG